rnacentral:snRNA from 1 species
GUGCUCACUUUGGCAGUACAUAUAUUAAAAUUGGAAAAAUAACAGAGGUAACAUGUCCCCUUAGCAAGGAUGAUAUGUAAAUUCAUGAAGUUUUCUGUAAAUAA